rnacentral:rRNA from 1 species
UACGUAGGGUGCAAGCGUUGUCCGGAAUUAUUGGGCGUAAAGAGCUCGUAGGCGGUUUGUCGCGUCUGCUGUGAAAUCUGGGGGCUCAACCCCCAGCCUGCAGUGGGUACGGGCAGACUAGAGUGCGGUAGGGGAGAUUGGAAUUCCUGGUGUAGCGGUGGAAUGCGCAGAUAUCAGGAGGAACACCGAUGGCGAAGGCAGAUCUCUGGGCCGUAACUGACACUGAGAGACGAAAGGCUAGGGGAGCGAAUGGG